UUUGAGAGAGACUUUUUGAGUGUGUGACGAGUAGGGGAUGGUCAGAGAGAGAGACAGAAUUACAAGCAGGCUGUCAGCACAGAGCCCAACAUGGGGCUUGAUCUCAUGAACCGUGAGAUCAUGACCUGAAUGAACUGAAACCACGAGUCAGAUGCUCAACUGACUGAGCCACCCAGGCGCCCCUUUUGUACUUUUUAAAACAUAGCAGUAUACCAUUGGCUGAGUAGGUUUUAGGACAGUAUAAUAUGGUUAGGAACAUAAGCACAAAUGAGCAUGGCUUAAAUUCUUGGUUCAGUAUUGUCAUGAUGAUUGUGUUGUUGUAUAAGAAUUUUCUGUCUGGGCCUCAAUGUCUUUAUGUAUAUGAUGGGGCUCAGAGAGGUCUAUUGUGCAAUAUAAUGUUGUUGCCACCUUUUUAAAACUGCUCUGAAACAUUUCUGUCCCCUUGAUGUUCACCUUUACAGAUAACAGUUUUAUCUCAUUGUUUUUAGACUGCCUUGCAAGGCAACUUAAUGUUUUUAGAAAAAGCCCUAUAUUCAUUUUAGCUUCAGUGUUGCCUCUAACUCUUUGGUUCUCUGACUCAAUUUGCCUCUUUGACCCACUAUGACAUUAGGCAAGUCUCUUCAUCUUUCUAAGCCCUAGAUCCUUCUAAAAUAGGGGUGUUGAAAUAAAUAAUCUCUCCAUUUCCUUCUAGCGGUAGUGUUCUGUGAUUCUUCCCAAUCUUGUUUUGAGCGCAUCCAUGAUAAAAACAAAAACAAUAACUACACACACACACACACACACACACACACACCAGCAACAACAACAGCACAACAAAUUGGCAUCUCUUAACGUAGAGGUGAUGGGAGCAUAAACUAAUAAAAAUCAUUUUAGAAAGCAAUUUGGCAUUAUCCAGUGAAGUUAAAGAUACACAUAUGAGAAUGUUUAUGGCAGCAUUAAUAGUAAUAGCCAGAAACUGGAAACAGCUUAAAAUCUGUCAGCAAUAUGUUUAUCAUUAAUCAUGAUAUAUUUGUGUAAUGGAAUACUGUGCAGCCGUGGAACUGUAGCUGUAUGCAAUGAUAAGGAUGAAUUUCACAAACAUAAUGUUGAGUAAAAGAAGCAAAACAAAAGAGAAUCUCCAUAAUGUUAUUCUAUUUAUGUAUGGUUCAACACUAGGGAAGGUUAAACUAUAUUGCUCAGGAUGGAAACUAUACAAAAAGCAAGCAUGGUGACUGCCUCUGGGAGAGAAGAGAGCUCAUAAUGAGAAAGGGGCUCAUGGGGAGCUUCUGGGACACUAGCAGCAUUCUUUUUCUUGGCUUGAGUGCUGGCUGCACAGGGGUUUGUUUUAUAACGGUCCUUUAAACAAUGCGCAUACGUGCUUUAAGCAUUUUGCUUAUAUGUAUAUUAUAUCUUGACAUGAAAACAUUAUAGCAUAACAAAGAUAAAAAGGUAUACGUGUAAUGCUAUUUCAGUGAAUUCUUGCAGUCUCUGAAAAAUACGUGCUACUACUAAGGACUGGGUAGGUAUUUCAGUGUCAUGUACCAGAGGGAAAAGGAUUUUGAACUAGAGCACUUGGAAGUUCAUUUGUCUUAGCUUCACAGUUAAGAAUGUCUAUUGUUAUUGAUUAUCUCUAUGCAAAGCACUUUUUAUUCUCUAUCCCCAGUCUUCACAAUAACCCUUUCACGUUUUUAUUAUCCUCAUUUACAAAUUAGGAAACUGAGGCUCCUUGCUUAAGGAGGAAUUCUAAAUAAAUCAUGGAAACAAAUAAGCAUGGGGUGUUUUUGAUACUUGUUUUCUCCUUCAUGUUAUGGAAAGAUAAAUUGGGAACAAUAUUUGUGACCAUUUUAAGGUGGCAUAAUGUAAAAAUAAACUCCAAAUAAAUGAAUAGACCAAGUCCGGGAUAAAUCUCUUUUCUUCAAAAUGUGCCUAAAAGCAUGGAAGGUGUUUUAAAUACUUACUAGUAAAUGAGUUUGUGGGUACUUGGGCAUUUACCACUUACAAGUCAAGCCCCCAUGUUGAGUGUUACAAUUGAACGUAAUUAGAACAGAAAGUGAGAGAAACAAUGUGUACAUUUUUGAUAGACUAAUUGUGGUGGUCACUUUAUCUAAAGCUUGCUGAACUAUGACCACUAAACUAACCACAAAAAGGAAAUUAUUUUGUAUAGCCAAGCCAAAAGCGAGUUUUUUAGAUUUAGUUUGCAGUGUCACUUAGGAUUCUUAAAAGCUUAUGAACCUCUACCUUCUUUUAAUAAGCCUUCAUAAUGACGAGGUCCCCCGAGAAUGAAAUCAUCUGAGUGGAAUGUGCCUGCGUCUUAAGAUCUGAUAAACAUCACUUCA